rfam:Pichia sorbitophila strain CBS 7064 chromosome I complete sequence.
GCCUGCGUAGCGUAAUGGUUAACGCGUUUGACUUCUAAUCAAAAGAUUGCGGGUUCGACUCCCGCCGUGGGUU